GCUGGUGAUGAUUUUGGUCAGAAGAGUCUGGUUGCAGGACUGACUCCAGCUGCACAACGCUGGAAUUCCAGGAAUGUCUCCACUCCCAAUCUGGCUUUGAUGAGCUUUGAUGAGUAAAGAAGUGAAAAUUCAGUGAAAGAUCCAUUACUUACCUGCAGUGCCUCGCACCAAUACCAGCAUCACCAUCAACACCAUGAAUCACCAUUAUCUCUUAAACCCUGCCCACAUCCAUGAACUGAACACACUGACCAACUCUGUUUUUGUGAGCAUCUCUUUAAAUUCUGUACUGGUCAAUGCAGGAAAGUAUCAUAACACUUUUAACAGAAUCCGCCUGAAGGAGGCUCCUCUAACUAGUUAUUGACAGUAGAAUAUAACCAGACUGGAACAUGUUCAGCAGUAUCCAAAAACUGCCAAAAAUAAAUAAAAAUAAAUAAUUAAAAGCAUAUGUAAAUCACUCAGUAAAAGUAAUUUGUAGUUUAAUUAUAUUUAAUAUAAAAAUAAAUACAUAUACCUAAAAAUUAUAAAUAUAAUUAUUGUAAAUUUACACGGCCAAUUACCCAACCCACUCACUAGGAAUCCCCCUAUCACUAGUAAUGUCCCAACACACCAGGAAGGUGAAGACUAAUACAUGCUCCUCUGAUACAUGUGAAGUCAGACUCCGCCUCUUUUCGAGCUGCUGCUGAUGUAGCAUUGCCGAGUAGCAUCACAGCGCUAACGCUCAGAGAAAAGCGCAGCGACUGUGCUGCAGACAUCACCCUAGGAGUGAUGUGGGGAGAGAGCGCCAUCGACCCACCCGGAGGGAGCAGGGUCAAUUUGGCUCCCUCUGAGCGCCGGCAGCUUGAUGGCAAAGCUGCAUGAGCGGGGGUUCAAACCUGCGACUCAGCAGAGACAAACCAUACCAUAAACGGGGGGCAGUCCAGAGUUCAAACACAGGCAAGAAGUAACAAGGAGAAGGCAAAAAUCAAGGUAGCAAACACAGUCCAGGUCAUACACCAGAAAAAUCCAAAAAAUAGGGAGCAGGCAAUAAUCGAGGUUGGAAAAACAUGGAAACAGGAUCAUACACGGAAUAAAAAUAGAAGGCAAGAAAAACCUUUUUUCUUUUGUAUGUGUAUCUAUAUAUAUAUAUAUAUACACACACACACACACACACAUAUCUUGUCAUUUGAAAAUCUGAAGAAGUUCUUCUUAAUACGCUGUACUCUACUAAUGCUGUGCUUCUUAAUAAACAGGUUAAAUAUAGAAUAGAGCUGCUGAGAUCUUUAUCUCUCUUUAUAUGAGAGUGAUUUUGUUUAAAUAACUUCAUAUAACUUCAAUAACUUCAUUUAAAUAACACGUGUUAUAUAGACCGUAGAUCUAUACUAACUUGUCAUAAUGAUUUUUUUCCGUUUUCAGAAAAACGCCAUAGUUACAUUUAUUCCAGUUAGAAAUGUAUGCAGUCAACUUUUUUCAUCUUAUUUUAUAACUGUGUAUUUUGUGUUAACCGUUUGUAUU